UUACUUAUCUGAUCUUGAGGCUUUGCUUUUGCUCUGUUUUGAUGCUAAUAGAAAAUAUGCUUACGCCCUUAGAGGUCAUUUGGUUGCUCGCUAGGGUUAUGCAAGGUAUUAAUAAUGCAGCGAUUAGUUAUUUAUUAUUAGUUAUUCAUGUGCUAGCUAUUCCUAUUUCUACCCUGCAUAAAAUAAUACAUAGAUUCCCUCAUAACUUAUAAAUGUAUUAGUUAUGCGGAGAAGAAAAACAUGAACCAAACAUUAUAUUAGCAAUGCCAUGUUUUAUGUGGAAAGGAGAUAAAACCAACCAAACAUUGUAUAACUUAUGCUAGAUUCUAUGUGGAGAUUAUUUCUCCCCAUUUUUGUAACCAAACAAUGUAUAAAGUUAUGAUAAUUUUAAUACAUAGAUAACUCCUCCAUAACCAACUACGAAACAACCCCUUAGUUUCCUAAGACAUUUCCAUUGAUAUUGCUGUUUUGUCUAAUCUUGAUUCGUGGUUAUCAUUGAGAAUCUUGUUUAUUGGUAAAAAUGUUAACUGAGUAGCUUGCAUAUGAGAGUGUGUAAUGCGGAAAACCCCCCAUUAGAAUAUGGACACUUCUCUUAUUGUUUAAUGGGUGGCCAAUAUACAAAUUUGAGUUCAUCUGUACAGUUCUCAUAUAAGGAAUUCUAAAGGACCUAUCAAGUAUCAAAUAACCAUUUGCACCCAAGGCCCAAGGGUGGGUGUGGCCUAGUGGUCAAUGAAGUGGUUGAGAACCAUGAGGUCUCAUGUUUGAAUUCCAACAGAGACAAAACAUUAGGUGAUUUCUUCCCAUUUGUCCUAGCCUUGGGGAUAGAGUUAGCUGGUACCUGUUGCUAGUGGGAGGUAUCCGUGGAAUUAGUCGAGGUGUAUGCAACUUGGCUUGGACACCACGGUUAUCAAAAAGGAAAAAAGUAUCACGGCUUGGGAUUGGUGACUCUGAUAAUUGUUUUCCUAUAAGCUAUCUGAGUUGCAAUGUCGUAUUCAGAAUUUGUUACUCCUCUAUUCCGUUUACACCAACCUUGCAGUAAUCGUUAUUAUUUGUAUUUCAUUUACACCAACCUUGAAGGAAAUUGCUAUUAUUUGAAUUCCAGUUAAUGUCUAUGCCCGUGAUUUAAUAUGAAGAAGCCUAUUCCUUUCUCAGGGCUGGGUAUUAAAUUAAAUUGUCGUACAUGUUCCAUGACCAGAAUGAUAAGUUUAUUAGGUUGUGUGGACUUCUCUCUUUCUCUCUCUACCUGCAUAAAUGAGUGAAACAUAGGUCUUUUAUGCUAUUCAACUAACAUACAUAUUGGAUAAGCUCACUAACAUAGAAAUAAGAUUGAAGCUCUUUUUACCAUACUUAUAUCUCUUUCUGAUUAGUAAAAGGCCACAUAGAAUAAUAGAGGAACACUAAGAGGGUUCAAAGUUAUUAAUGUAAAGCAAAAUCAGAGAAAAAGUGGUUGUUGUGAAUCUGCAGAACUUUUAAAACUGUAAGAUGUUGACUGAAUCUUAGAAUUUGUAGUUUUCACAUCAACUGAACUCCUAUCAACUCCUGAAAUGAAUUUAUUUUUUGAAACAAAUUAGUUAUAUUUGACUUCUUUCUCUCGUUGUUGUGUGUGAAAUAACUUUUUGGAAAAUCACUGUCAUGUGCUUGUGUCCAUGUGUGUGGCACCUUCGCAUCUAUACAUGUGGAGUUUGGGGGAGAUGAGGAACCAAGUCAAAGAGUUAACAAAAGCUUUUUCUGGCAGCCAGGAAAGUAUUCACGGUUAUUUUCUAGAGAAGUACUUUUCCUUUGCCUAGUUACAUCUUCUUGUUUAUGAGUCUGCCCUUCUACUUUCCUUACUAAAUGUCAUUAAAACCCCAGACUUCAAAAUUUAGAAGGGAAUUUAGCAGCUAUCCGUGUCAUCCAAACCUGAUUGUGUAACUCUUUGCUGCAGAUACUUUUUUCUAAUUAUGCAGGACCUUUGAUAGGAUACUUCUCUUGUGAAUGGAUGUUAUAUAUCUCUUUCUCUUUUCUCAACUAUUAGCACUCUAUGUGUUGGGAAACAUUUAAAAGAAGGUUACACUUUCGGCUAAGUUGCGCAGACUCUUCAUGUUUUAUGCCGAACCUGUCUCGACACGAGACCGGGACGGGUGCGGGAUACAUUUCGGAUUCGAUCAACCAACUUCAGAUACUAUGAUUGGAGUCCAUGGACAAAUUUGGGGGAAAAUUGAGAUUUAAAUUUCUCAAAAUAAAAGAUAAAAGAGAUUUAAGACAUGGGAAACGGAACGCCCAUCUUGGAGAAUGAAAGAUUGAAUUCUACAAUAUACAUGUCAUAUGUACAGAGCUUGUUACAGAUGUAACUAAUACUAAUAUGAGGACCAGUGGGAGACUUGGUGAAAAUAUCUACAAGCUGAUCAUUUGACUUCACAAAUUUUGUAACAAUCUCUCUAGCAAGUAUCUUUUCUUUGAUAAAGUGACGGUCAAUCUAAAUGUGCUUAGUCCUCUCAUGGAAUAUAGAUUUGACGCAAUAUGAAGGGCCGCUUGAUUAACACACAGGUUCAAUCUGAUUGAUUUCUCCAAAUUUUAAUUCUCUGUGCAAUUGUUUGAUCCAAACUUGCUUACAAGUUGCUACAGCCAUUGCUCGAUAUUAUGCUUCUGCACUAGAUUGAGUAACCACAUUCUGUUUCUUUUCUCUUCCGGGACACCAAAUUAUCUCCUACUAAAACACAAUAUCCAGAUGUAGAACGUUUAUCCGAGAUUUCGCCCAAUCAACGUCUCUAUAUCCAACGAUCUGGUGGAGCGGCUUGCUGGGGUUUGGUUGCCAGAGGGUGGGGGACCCUGUGGUAGUGUUGGUCUUCGCACUAUACUGACGGAAAGUGGACCGAUGCAAAUCAGAUCUCAGGAGUCACUGGAAAGAUGCACAGCGACUUACUUUUCUCUCCCAAAUGUUUCUCACUGCUACUUUGGUACCAUGUGAGAAGUAACGACACAGGAAAAAGAAUUAUUGAGAUUCGUGUCCACUUUAUUACACUGAACCCUAUUUAUAGUUAUAUUCGACACAUACGUAAUAGUCCUCCUCCAUGUAGGACACUAUAUACGUUAAUAUUCCAAUAGUUAUGACAUGAGCUUUGGCUUGAUGUGGAUGUGAAAUUCCAUUGAGUGCGUGAUCUGUAUAGUGGAGCUCAUUUCUGGCAUAACUAUACAGGAUAGGAGGGGAAGCCUCUUGAGAAUCAUUUAUUGCUUUUGAUGCCAGUGUUGUGGACAUUGUAAAACUGAUUGUUUGGAUCUAUGAAUUUGUGUCUUUGGUUUUGUGACUUUCUCGGGGUAGUACAGUUGAGGCACAAAGGCAGCCUUUUGUGUGCAUUUGCAUGUAAUAUAAAUAUUGAAGAAUAAUCAUUGUGUUAAACCUAAACCACCAUUCUCAAAAAAAAAUAUAGAAUAAUCAUUUGACUGCCUAUAAAAUUCCCGCCAAAAUGCAAACAAACUGGCUAAUUUCUUUGAAGUUGGUUACAUCCCUAUAUUUUUUGUGUUCUCUGUUUGCUAAGAUUGCUGUUGGCAAUAUUAUCCUUGAUGUCUACAAUCUCUGAAUUUGUUAUGGUAAUCACUAGUCAAAGUUUUCUCUGAUCUGAACCACUUGUUUUUCCAUGGCCGCAUUCUCUUUUUCAAUUUGCAACUUCAUUGUGGCUUGUUUUGCCUUAUGUGACCUUGGGGUAACCAUCAUCUUGACCUUAACCUUUGUUUUCUCCCCUAACUCAUCUAAAGCUGAACGUGGACCCCUGUCCAAUACCCUAUUUUCUGCAACUUUCCUUCUAUGUUUAUUCAAUGCACAAGAAUAUUGUACUCCUUCCCUGAGCCCUUUCGACCAGGAGCUCCCUCCUGUUUUAUUCCCCUUCCACCACCUGAGUGGCUUAACCCAUUUCCCGAAUUCUCUAGGAUAUUUAAUCACCAAAUAUUUCUUCCUUUGGUAAGAGAAUAUCCCUCACAAAUGCACGACCCUUUCUCUAUCUUUUUCUAUUUGUACGUAUGAUUCUAUCUGCAGCCAUAACAUCCAUUGCCUAAGCACUCUGGUGAUUCAAAUGCAUCUUCUUGCUAGAUUGUUUCCUUCUAUUUUCAUAUGGAAUUUUGUUACAGCUUUGACUUUCAUAAUCAAAACAGCAGCAUACUGACAUAAUCAGAAGUUUUACGUUUGGCGCUAUGAACAGUGAGUAAUUUCUGAGAUCAAGGAAACGUGAAGAACUUCUAGGACUUUUAUAUACCCUUUAUAAACAUCAGGAAAGCGAUUAAAAUUUAUCCAAAAAGAAGAGAGGAAAAGGAAGAGAGAAUAUCUAGAAUUAUCUGAAACCAAUGUGACAUAAAGUACUGUUAAUGAUGAAACCCUUCUGGAACAAACUCCAACAUCCGGUACGUCUCUUAGAUCCAAUUGGAAACUCACUGCAGUAUUCUGGGGUUUUAGGAGUAGUGUAGGGAUUCUUAAAAGCUACUGAGGUAUCCUACGAUUGUAAAUUUUUAAAAUAAGUUAAAAAUGGGCACAGUUAAGAAAUCGUAAGACAAACUGAAUCAAGACAAUUAGAAAUGUCAGAUCAA